rnacentral:rRNA from 1 species
UGGGGAAUCUUGCGCAAUGCGCGAAAGCGUGACGCAGCAACGCCGCGUGGGGGAAGAAGGCCUUCGGGUUGUAAACCCCUUUCAGUUGGGACGAAGCUCCGACGGUGAAUAGCCGUCUGGAGUGACGGUACCUUCAGAAGAAGCCCCGGCUAACUACGUGCCAGCAGCCGCGGUAAUACGUAGGGGGCAAGCGUUGUCCGGAAUCAUUGGGCGUAAAGAGCGUGUAGGCGGCUUGGUAAGUCCGCUGUGAAAGUCCAGGGCUCAACCCUGGAAUGCCGGUGGAAACUGCCAAGCUAGAGUCCGGAAGAGGCGAGUGGAAUUCCUGGUGUAGCGGUGAAAUGCGCAGAUAUCAGGAGGAACACCAAUGGCGAAGGCAGCUCGCUGGGACGGUACUGACGCUGAGACGCGAAAGCGUGGGGAGCAAACA